rnacentral:rRNA from 1 species
AUGGCUGCAGCUGAAGGAGCGGCUGUAGCUGUUAAUGAAGAGAGGCACUUUGCAUUUGUCCACCAGAAGUAUAGAUCGGUAAAGUACAGAGAAGCUUCAGAGCAUGGUAGCAUUGUUUAUGAGAAGAAUCCACGACGGACUGAUAACCUACUUCUUCUUGGAGUUAUCUACUGUCAGUUUAAGACUUGGUGCUAG